ensembl:snRNA U6 U6 spliceosomal RNA
GUGCUCACUUCAGCAACACAUACACUAAAAUUGGAACAAUACAGAGAAGAUUACCAUGACCCCUGUGCAAGGAUGAUAUGUAAAUUCAUGAAGCAUUCCAUAUUUUU